GAAAAUCGUGGGGGGGAGGGAUUAUGCGGGUCUUACCAUGCAAGUCGAACGAUGAUGCCCAGCUUGCUGGGCGGAUUAGUGGCGAACGGGUGAGUAAUACGUGAGUAACCUGCCCUUGACUCUGGGAUAAGCCUGGGAAACUGGGUCUAAUACUGGAUACUACUGCGCAUCGCAUGGUGUGUGGUGGAAAGGGUUUUACUGGUUUUGGAUGGGCUCACGGCCUAUCAGCUUGUUGGUGGGGUAAUGGCUCACCAAGGCGACGACGGGUAGCCGGCCUGAGAGGGUGACCGGCCACACUGGGACUGAGACACGGCCCAGACUCCUACGGGAGGCAGCAGUGGGGAAUAUUGCACAAUGGGCGCAAGCCUGAUGCAGCGACGCCGCGUGAGGGAUGACGGCCUUCGGGUUGUAAACCUCUUUCAGUAGGGAAGAAGCGAGAGUGACGGUACCUGCAGAAGAAGCGCCGGCUAACUACGUGCCAGCAGCCGCGGUAAUACGUAGGGCGCAAGCGUUGUCCGGAAUUAUUGGGCGUAAAGAGCUCGUAGGCGGUUUGUCGCGUCUGCUGUGAAAGCCCGGGGCUCAACCCCGGGUCUGCAGUGGG
rnacentral:rRNA from 1 species